rnacentral:rRNA from 1 species
AUUGAACGCUAGCGGGAUGCCUUACACAUGCAAGUCGAACGGCAGCACGGACUUCGGUCUGGUGGCGAGUGGCGAACGGGUGAGUAAUGUAUCGGAACGUGCCUAGUAGCGGGGGAUAACUACGCGAAAGCGUAGCUAAUACCGCAUACGCCCUACGGGGGAAAGCAGGGGAUCGCAAGACCUUGCACUAUUAGAGCGGCCGAUAUCGGAUUAGCUAGUUGGUGGGGUAACGGCUCACCAAGGCGACGAUCCGUAGCUGGUUUGAGAGGACGACCAGCCACACUGGGACUGAGACACGGCCCAGACUCCUACGGGAGGCAGCAGUGGGGAAUUUUGGACAAUGGGGGAAACCCUGAUCCAGCCAUCCCGCGUGUGCGAUGAAGGCCUUCGGGUUGUAAAGCACUUUUGGCAGGAAAGAAACGUUCCGGGUUAAUACCCCGGGAAACUGACGGUACCUGCAGAAUAAGCACCGGCUAACUACGUGCCAGCAGCCGCGGUAA